rnacentral:lncRNA from 1 species
UGCAUGUGUCAUCUCGAAAGAUCUAAGUUUUUUCUUAUUCUUUAGUAACUCUGUCCUAGCAAAUAGAUACUUAUCUCUAGAAGUACCAAACCAGAUAGCCAUCUAGCUAUUAUUAAAAAAUCUUAUAGGAAAAGUCUUCGAAACUCUUGUUGCAUAUGACGUAAUUUCUUAUGCAAUAUGUAAUUCUGUUAUAUAAACUAUAGCGUCAACCAAUUUAAUACUGUCAGCUACAAUUAGAGCAUCAGUCGUACUUCUAAUCACAAAGCUAGCCCUAUUAUACUUAUUUUUAUUUAAAACACCUGCAAUCAAUUUUAAUAUUGAGAAAAUUUGAUGUGGUUUAAAAUGAAAUAGAUCGUUUAUAGGAUGGCGGAACCUGGCCCACGUUUUUUUUUUUUUGCUUGUUUUUAAUACUCGGAUCGCAUGGCAUGCAGCUUGCAAGACCAUAAAUCAUUCCUGAUGUUCCAUCAAGAAUUCCAUCCGGAUCUGAUCGGUCGAGAUCGGGAACAUUAAGGGACAUUAAUGGACGACCGUGGUAAACCGCCGACGUUUUUUUCGCGGGCGGGACGCAAAUACGAUGGGAAGAAAACCGGGUCGUCCUGUGGAGACUCGGUGGAGCUCAGCAGCCAACGAAACCGUGCCCGACGGCGACUUUGGCCUUUGGAUGCGGGACCCAAAGUGGUUUGAUAGCGGACCAAACCGACCCCUUGGGUCAACAAAAUCCGCUGCCGUUUCUUCCACGUCCUCGUGAUCUCAUAGUUUGGACUUGGCGCACCGCUAUUCAAAAGGUGGGACUUUAAUUAUAAUAUCACCCCUUCAGUGGUUCAUGAGACAAAUCGCAUCUUACAUGGAUGGAAAGUAAAGAUAUUAUCCAUAAGCUACUAUUUUUUUGUCAACCGAGUAUUCUUCGCAGUCAAAUAAAUCGAUGGUUGUCUCUACUUUUCCACCUAAAUAUUAUUCCCAUUAGUGAUGAUUGGUCGUGUUCCAAUCUUUUUGGCGUAAAUAUAGGGAAUCGGGGUAUCUCUAUUACCCAUUUUUACUCUAGAAGCGCUCAAGAGUGAGAAAGAAAAAGAAGACCCACUUGUGUGACAGGGGUUAACUUUAUUUUUAUUUUUGGCCUAGGAAUUGGGGUCACCUUUAUGACCUCCGAUUUGCAAAAAUUCUAUUUGAAUGAUUGGACUGAAAAUUCUAUAGAGUUUGUAGGUUCGACUAGUAAAAUUAGUAAAAUUAUAGGAUUACAGAUCAUGCUCGAUCUAUAUUCAUAAAUAUUUAGGAAUAAUUUUGGAGUGGGCCGGCUGAAUCCCGUAGCUGUAGAAGGAAACCCAAUCAUUCAGAUAGGCCUUAAGACCGUUGAAGAAAAAAACCCACUUAAGGGGCAGUGGUCACCUCUACUAUAAUUUUUUGGCAUGGAUGUAGGAGGCAGGAGUCACCUCCAUUAUUAUUAUUAUUGGCGUAGACGUAGGAGGUAGGGGUCAGCUCUAUUACCAUUCUUGGUGCAGACGUCGGGAACUGGGCUCACCUCCAUUACUCCUGGCCCUACUCCAGACCCACCUAAGAGAUAAGAAGAAGACCCGUUUGAGAGGUAUGAGUCAUGAGUCAACUCUAUUACUAUUUUUGGCAUAGAAGCAGGGACUUGGAGUCACCUCUAUUACUCCUGACCCGCUUAAGAGGAGUCCCAAUAUCAACGUGUGCUAAUCUUCAUGCACCGCUCGCCGUGUGCAAGAUAUUUUGCUUGUCCUUCUUGCUUCAGAUGAUUUCAACCUAUAAUUAUAGUCUCUGGACUAUAAAACAGGGGAUCGAACAAAGAUUAAAUAGCGCAUGCAAAGGAUACCUUGUUCGUGUAUAUCUAAAUUUUAAUGCAAGGAAAAAUAAUGUACACUAAACAAAUAACCAUAAGAUCAAGAUUUGACUAUGAGGGGAUGAAUAAAGAUUAUAUAAAUUACAAGAGCAUCGUAGAUUGUAGCCCAAACACAUCUGCACAAUAUAUUGAAUUUACUGUGAGGGGGAUGACCAAGACUUGAGUACUCCUCGAUUUUGGUUCAUGAUUAACUUUAACAAAGGUUUCAUAUCUUGAAAGUACAUUAAGCAUAUUUCGACUUUUAAUGUAUGGAAAGAAUUGUUAACUGGUAAUAUCUCAUGCAUGGGAUUUAGAUUUUAUUUUGAGAGGAAGAACCAAGACUCGAUUUCUCUGUUUCGGUCCACAUUUCUGAAGAUAUUUUGGCUAUAUCCCCUAACAUGUCUUUCCAAUUAUUAAGCAUUUUUUGUAAGCUGUAUAACCCAUUAGUUGGGGAAGAAAUCCUGAACUAUGGCAAUAUACGCUGCAGAAAGUUUCAUUUUCCCCCUUUUUUUUUACUACUGACGUGCUGCAUUCUUCCCACAGCUCGGUUGAUGGAGCUAUCAAACUGAAACCCAAUGUAUCGAUUUGUUCUUCUCUGCUCGGUACAUGGCGACUUGGCGAGACUCCAUUCCCACAUGCCAACUCUACCUCAAUCUUAAUGUUCAGCUCUUCCACUCUAAUUUCGAUAGUCUUAUCUCCAACCAAUUUACAGUCUUUCAAAAUCCAAUACGGUUUGGUACGAAUGCUUAAGCAGGAGACGUGAUAAUGCUAGGUUGGUGGUGGUUCAUGUCAUCGAGUAAUAUACUAAUAUUGAGAGAGACUAAAAAAAAGGACAAGGCAGAAAGAAAUUAAUCUUUCACUGCCAGUCAGUGGCAACCAGAAACCUUCUACAAAGUGUCGAGAGAACACGUACGCCUAUAACAAUGCAGUAUCUGCUAAUACUAAUCCUUACAUUGCUUGAAGGAUAAUUCCAUAUUUCCAUCCCAGGAUUUCCCCUCGGAGAGAGGACUCGAAUCAGCUUGAUGUAUAGACACAACUUCCAUCGUCGCUCCGAGCGGUUGGAUCGAAGUUUUUAGCAGAUGGGUCUGUGCAGCCUUCUGGAAGAGGAAGGUUCACUUGCUGAGCUGCUUUGCCUGCACCCAAGGAACAAAUAUAUUAGCCAUCUUGCAUAAACUUCAGCUACUCUUUCCACAAGAGGAUCCUUUCCAAGGCCUAGUGUUAAUUAUCUUGGAAGCCAGAUGCAGACCCUCCCAUCAAGGCCUCUAGGAUUAAGGUGCUAACCGUAGAAAGAUUCAGACUUGAUAGCAUCUUCAUUGGCAUCUCCAAGCGCAGCCUCGCUCAAGUACUUGUCAGCCAACUGCACUCGCUUCACGUUCUCCUGCUCCUUCACCAGCAUGUUACCGUACUCCAUAAGCUUCUCUAGGGUCAUCUUAGGUUGCUCAAAGGUUGGCGGUCCUUCACGCGAGUUAACGAGCCUCUUGCCGACCUUUUCAAUUCCAAUCUCUGCAAUCCACUUCCUCACUUCAUCAUCGUAGACCCUGGCUCGGAGGGCACCAAAAAAGUCUGCAUGUUGGCACCAAAAUGCGCUGGUUAACAUUCUUAAUAGAAUGAUUGCGUUUUUAUUGAAGCAAAGCGGCGAUUCCGUAUUAACAUUUUUUGACGUGACACCACAAUAAAAACCAAGUGGCAAACUCUGCUACAAGGGUUCCUAUCAUUGUCCAACAAGUGAAAUUUGGUCACUUAACAAGUUCAGUUCCUUUGCAUCGAAAGAAAACGAGUUCGGUUCCAAUUUUCUCCUAGUAUUUUGAGUUCCUAAAGCAUUUUUUUCUGGAUUAAUUUUUCUGCACCAUGAAGUACUAUGGAUGGCCGAAGUUCCUGAGAAGAUAAAAUUUUUUAUGUGGCUUGCUCUGAAGAAUUGAAAUGGUUUGUUUCACAGGCUUUUAAUCACCAAUGCCCCAGCUGGAAGUUCUUUAAAAAAGAAGAGACAGCCACAAGACAAUCGCCUCUAAUAUCUCUAUCCCUUAACUUUGACCUACUUUGCAGGCAAUUCUCUUUGUAUAUUCUCUUCUUUUGCUUAUCAAUAAAUUUAAGGGGUAUGGCCAUCAUUCUCUCUUACUUCCCUCAAGAAAAGAAGAAGAGUUGUGCAUGGUUUCAUGGCCAUGAUUAUUUAAAAUGUUGGCAGGCUUACCAAUAGACUGGCCUGGGAAGGCAUCAACUAGCUUGACGAUGUGCUCCCUGGGAACAUUGUCCGUCCUGAAUAUACCCAUGCAGAUACCAAUUCGAUCCUCUCUGGUGGGCGCCCAGUAGAACUUCUCCAUCCGGCCGUCACGAAUGAGAGGGGCAUACAGAGUGGAGAAGUCAUUUCCGGUGACGAUGAUGGGAACACGGGGAUUUUCCUGCUUGUUGUACAUUCCCGGGAGCUGCACAUUCGUCGGGUUGUCGGCGAUGUUCAUCAGGGUGGCGUUCACCAUCUGGUUGUUGACGGUGUAUUGGGUGGUGCCACCCAUCCUUCCGGCUCCGGCAUCCAGAUCGUUGAUGAAGAGGACGCACAUUUUCCCCUUUCUGAUGAUGUCUGCUGCCUCACGGUAUCUUUGCCUGAUCAAUUUUGCAGGCUCUCCGGCGUUGCCGCUCUCCAAUUCUCCGGCACUCAUCAUAACAGGGCUAUAGAUGCCGAGCACCAAAACACAAUAUAUUAGAUGAUGAUGAGCUAAUUGUGAGAGCCCGUGCAGACGUGUAUUUAGUUCCGCAUCGGUUAUUUAUUGGAUAGAUCUUAAAUUUUUAUACAGAAUCAAACAAUCCAAAUAAUACCUUUUGGUUAGCCAUUUUAGAUGAGGUUCUAGAUUAUUACAAAUAGUAUUAGAGCGAAUUCGGCUUGUAGUUUUUGUGGACUAGGGAACACUGCAGCACGGAUCCAUUGAGGCUAACCACGAGCCGAUCGUGGUGUUUGUGAUUAGAUUUGAUGAAUGGAUUUGAACCUUUAGCCUGACGAGAACAUCAGGAUUUGAACGAGAAAAGUACGUGAGGAUUCGUGUGGGUGUGUGUUUAGUCCCAUAAUAUUGAUUAUUCGCUGGAUAGCAAAUACAUAAUGUGAAUUUAUUUAUCAUAAUACAAGUUUCACAACGAUCCAAUUGAGAAGAUUUGGGCAAGCAUUUCAGGUAGGUAAAAGAUUAAUUGUCUUGCGUUCCAAUUCUCCGGCACUCAUCAUAACAGGGCAUUAAUAAAGAAAGAAAGAAAUGGGCCCAAAUGACUAAUAGGUAUAAGCAUCAUCAGAAUUUAAAAUGACCCCAGAUGUAAUUGGCAACAGCAAUCCAUUCUGAAUCAAGAAAUGAGGCUGACAAAGUCAUUAUAGAUGCAAAAAGACAGCCAAUUUUGAUCUUGGUAACACCAAUACGAGGCAGUAAUUUAACUUUCCCAAAGCUUUUGAUUCUCCAUGAGGACAGCAAGCGAAGAGGAAGAAAAACUCACUUGAUUCCCAUCUUGGCGAAUACAAGUUCACAUUGGAAGGAUUUCCCCUGGCCUUUGCCUCCCCAAAUACCCAAAAUGAGGGGAACCUGUGAGAAACCGCAACAAACAUUAAUCUCCAACCAACAGCUAUCCAGAGAGCUUGAACAGAAACGGUGGUGGAUAAGAAACCUGAUCAAAGAUGAGAAACACUUUGAGGGCAUUACCUUAAUGUUCGGCAGGUUCAUGAAAUUCUUGGUGAUGUGAACAACAAGCUUAUCCAUGAAAGCAGGAGCAAUGUAAAACCCAUCCAUGGUGUUGUCCAAGUUGUACCUAAAAGCCAUUAUAUAUGAUUGUAUAAUUGUCAAGAUCAAGCAGUUCCUGCGACAUUAACAGAGCAUAGACUUCUAGCUGAAAUACUCGAAUCUUCAAGCUUAGUUUGUUUCCUUACUGGCGGAGACCCUGGCUGAUGUACUCAUAGGAGCUCAAGACGGGGAUGUGAGUUCCAUCUCCCAUGGGAGCCUGGAAGAGGGAAUCGACCAACCCCUUCCCUCUGGUGAUAUCCUGCUGAUCAUCAGAUAUAUCAUAUGCAAGACCUGCCCACCUAUCCUUGUCGGUCUGCUUGGUCUCAUCGAGGUCGGCAGCCAUGACCUUGAAAGUACCAGUGGAGACCCUCCCAUGGCUAAAGCUAGAGUUCGCCUUCUUCAAGCUGCUCCCAAAGAAUGCCGAGCUAGGGGCCAGAUAUCCCGAGCCAGAGCCCUGCAAGCUCAACUACACCAACAAAACCAAAACCAAGGUCAACUACUCCAAGCAAACCGUAGUUUCCAUGCCAAAAACUUAACUAAUUCAGGUAAUAAACAAGCACCAUGUACGCAUAAAUUAACCAGAAAGAAAAUCUAGACAAACAACAACAACAUGAGCGAAAAAAACCCGAAAUAGAACCACAGGCUAGCCAGAUUUCCAAGGAAUAAGGGAACAGCCAGAGGGGACUAGCUGGUAUAGCAAUACCGAAGGCCCAGGACGAGCAACAUGCAACCCAAGCGGCGGUGACGUCGGAGCAAACUUAUUCUUCAAGCCUGGAAGGCCAGCCACUUCAAAUGAAAUUAAAGAAGCCAUGCACUCUCCCACCAAGUCGACCAAGAUUGAGCACACCAAGAAAAUAAUUAAGAAGCCCAAAGUCGACACAUAAGAUAUGAAAGAACAAGGAGAAGAUGGAUAUGGUGUCGAGUUACGGACCCAUGCAUUUAAAAGAAGAGAGCAAAACAAGAGGCGAUGAAACCGAUGGGAAGCCACAUAGAAGGAAGUGGAGAAAGAGGGAGGGAAAACGAGGGUACUACCGGUACUCUGGUGACAGCUCCAACGGUAGAGACAGCGGCAGCCAUCUGGAAACCGAGGAGGGAUGGAGGAGACGAAUGCGAAGCGUGUGCGCCACCGGGAUGCCAAGUUGUUGGAAACCGGAGGCUCUUAUAUAUAUGCUGUUGCGGAAUGGAGGCGCGGGUUUUGGGUCAAGCUCGUGGGUUUGCGUUGCUUCGGAUCCUAUGGAUUUGGCUUACGAAUUCCUAAUGGCCACACGCUCGCGAUUAGGACGAGUCACACGUGGCGUUCUCCCGGCCGCCAGCAGGCGUUCCGAUGAAGCGCGUCCAAAAUAGAGCGUUCCGGUAGGUGGUAGCGUCACGGAUGAUGAAGGAUUGUUUGGACUUGGAAACUCUUCUUUACCACCAACUCUUUUUUCAGGGGUUCAUCGCCAUAGAAAGUAUGGCGGGGUGCAGAGAGUUCUCGAGCAGGUUAUGGAACGUUGUAGAAGAUCGGACUCUACUGGAAUUAUUCAUUCUAUUUUUACAAAAUUUUUAUAGAAAAAAUAUUUAUUUGUUUUUUUCUCAAACGUGAUAUUAGAGCAUAGAUUUAAAAUUAUUUGGAGCUGUAAGUACCAAAGACCUGGACAUAAGAUCUAUGCAAAAAAUUUAUGUUAUAUAUGCGAGCUAAUUAUGUCCGGGAAAAAUAGUGGUUUUCUGUGUAUGUAAACUUAUGACAUGAAAUAUUCCUUUUUCUUUGAAUGACUUCAAUAAAUACUUACAAGAAACACGAGACUGCACAAAUAUUAUAAAUUGCUUCUUCCCCUAGUCAUUAUCCUCUUGCUUGCUUUUUUUUUCCAACAUUGCAGGACUCACUACAGGGGAAGUGUGAGAAGAGGGAAGGAGGAGCUGGAAGCAAUUUAUUAUCUACAUAGAGAGCUAUAGAUAAUCAAAAUUUUCAUAUAUUUGUAUGGUGCACUCAGAGUAGUUCCAAGAUCAUUAUCCGAAAAAUGUCAAAUAUAAAAUUAAAUAUUAUUAUUUAUUUAAUUUAUUCCUUUUUUUAUAGAAGAAGAAGAAGAAAGAGACUAAGCAGGUAGAAGCCUCCAUCAGCCACUAGAUUUUAUUCAUAAGGAUAUACACAAGAAAAGCACGAUAAGAUAGGAAUGCAUAUGGGAACUAAGUGAGGAGAACAAAAAAUACCAGAGUUAUAAGAGACAGGAAGGAUUGAAACAAGAUAUAGCAACUAUUACAGAGAAACCGAGAAUUCAUCAUUGGAUUAGUAGCCAUCAUUAGAAGUAAAACUAGAGCUUUCAAUAGAAACAAAUCCCAACCAAAUACGCCAGCGGUAUGCCGAAGCCAGGGCACCAAAGCCUUCAAUAAAAUCACAAAAAUUCAAUCAAGAGCAAACAACUCAGGAAUCAAAAGGCUAAUGGAUGGAGUGGAAUUCUUUAAUUUUCUUUCAACUCUGCAGAAUCCAAAAAGGUCACUGAAAUCACAGAGUAGGGACCAGUCAUCAAGUAGUAAGAUAUUUUCGCCUCUGCAAAAGAAGAUGCAUCUAUUUCAUUCAUUCCAGAAGCCUCAGGAUAAGUGGAAUAAGCAUAAAUAUAGCAGAUGAUGCAUAUCUUUUGGGAAGGAGUUCCGUACCCACCUAGAGUGGCAGAUUUGAAAAUUUCUACACCCAGUUAAUUUAUUAUUUUUCAUUUUUGCACUGUUACAAUGUGGAAUAUGUGAAAUAUAAAUUUAAGAUAAAUUUUUUAGUUAGUCUUCAAAAUAUAGAAAAUCUUUUGGCCAUGGUCACAAUAUGGUAGAUAUAAGAUGAUACAACCUCUCCAAUGAAGGAGAUAUGGAAGGGUAUGAUUUAAUACUUGAUAUUUUCUAAAAGAUCCUUGAAAAGAACACAAAAGUUCCUACAAAGUUAUGGCAUACCAAUUGCCAAUUACAUGUACAGAAUCUUCUUUACAUUUUCCUUAAUAAGCAUAAUAUGAAAACCUAUGAGAAAUUAUAUUUGGCUUUCCAAAGCUUUUGCUUUUUACAUACAUACAUACACACAUACAUAUAUGUACAUACAUACAUAUUUAUGGUGUAUUUAUAUGCAAAAAAGAAAAAAAUCCCAGAGAUAAAAAGCAAUGUAUUGUAAGAAAAUUUAUUGCUCUACAAUGAAAUCCCUUAUUGUACUUAACAGAUAUGGUUGUUCGGAAGAAUAACCAUUGCAUGAUUCCGUGUCACCUCAAGGAAAUGGAAUAUUUUCCAAACAUUCCUCUCUAACAGCCGUACGUAACAACAUACUCCUCAACAUCCAGCGACAGCUAAUUAUUUGCUUGAUAUUUUGUUUUCAUUCGCCACCUUUCAAUCUGCCCUUGCUUGCUUGCUGCAGUGGUUACCGUUGGCGCGCGUUUCCCGCGGUUUGACCUUUUCUCUUUAAAAACGGUUGCAUCCAUCUCCGAUUACCUCACGUUUCAGAGCCAUUUCCCCACAGCUCUCCUCUCCGCCUUUCAUUUCCCACUCCCAAACGCCCUGCCCUCCCCCUCUCGUAUAAAGCCAAUCCGAACUCCUCCGAGUCUUUUUUUGCAUCAAAAUAAGAAGGCAAACAAUCGUCCGUACGUUUCAGCAGACUUGUUGUCGUCAUGGAGAUCAAAAUCCCAAGAGGAGAAUCCAAUGCCAAGAAGCCCCCCACCCGGCUCCAGAAGCGCGCCCCUGCGUCCCUCCAGCUCGACCGCAGCAUCAACGCCUUCGCCUGGGAGAAGGCCUAUUCUUCUCCUACGCCAAUUCCCCUGCUGUCGCCGCUCAUUCUUUCCCCCACGCCGUUGUUCGAGGCUGAUGUGGCCCCGGUCUCGGAGGCAGAGAAGAAAGACGGCGGCGAGUGCGAGGACGAGGAGAGGACGCCGAUGCCGCCGCCCGGUGGAUGGCGUCACCCGGCUUUGCCGAUGGUGAUGGUGGAGCCCGCGUCUCUGCUUCCCAUGUUUCAGUUCCAAUGCGCUCUGGUGCGCAACGUGCAAUGACCGCAUUAUUCUGCUUCAGAUUUUUGUGUAGUUGAACUCGAUUCAUCUCCCUUGUAUUCAUGGGUGGUAUGCUGGGUAAGCAAACUCCACCGAUUCAAUGUGGCCAUCGGUUCGAUGCUAUAAAACAGAACAAAAAUAUUUUCAAAAUAAAUAGCUGUGGAAGUUUGGUGUGGACUUUCUCCUUGCGACCUGUUAAAGGAGGAUGAUAGCCAUUUUUUUUCCUUUUUUUUAUUUUAUUUUAUAUUCCCUGUGUGGAUUACAUGAAGUUGUGUUCACGUCUGCCGUUUGAUAAUUAUUAGCAGAUUGCGGAAAGAUAAAUUUACAGAACAAAUUUAUCCAAAAGAGGAGAUGAAGUUUUUUUUUUUUUCACCAUCAAUGUAGUAUCGGUAUGCUGCCGUCAGUCCUUUUGACUUAUUUAUGAACAAAAUGCUGGCCUGGUAUGGAUCCGGAGAACAAUUUGAUGAAAAUAUACAGAAAACUGAAGAUGAUUUAUAUGAAUUUUUAAAUGAAAUUUGAGAGAGGUACUAUAAUUUAGGGACAGUAUUUCGGAAGAAAAAAAAAAUCUAAAAAAUGCACAUCUGAAUGUUCACCUUGCACGGAAAGCACCAAUUCGUAAGGUGACACACCGUGUCCAAUAUAACCUUGCAUUUUCAUAAAAAUAUUCAUUAAUAAGGAAUCCAGUUUUUUGAUUACUUUUGGAAAUUCUCAUGAAGCGCUGAAUCAAUUUGUUAUGAUGAUCCUAACCAACUGCCUUCCUUCAGCAUAGUGGUAGCCUGGUAGGCACCAGGCAUCCUGGAUGCCCACGCAUAAAUAUCUAAUCCAUCAGGGUUGCAUAUUUAAACCAUACUUGUGCAGUAGUAGCAGAGGAAAGGAAUCCAUGCUCUCUGACACCAAGUCUGCAACCAGCCACCCAAUCUUGAUGCGAUUACUAGGGUGAUGCUAGUUCAGAGUGUCUCAGAAUUUAAAUAUAUAUUCUCGUUCUUAUUCAUAUGAUACAGAUCCUGCAUAGCAUAAUCAAACUUCAAACCGCAUCUGAAAUAAGCAUGGAGAAAAGCUAGUUUGACCUUUUAACAAUCCAAGCUCCCUUUGAUGAAAGAUGCAGGAUAUUCAUGAACGCAGUCACACAAGCUGCGGUGUACAAGCCUCCAUAUUCUCUUUCUUGUAAUUUUAGAACCAUCUCCCUUGUUUUUACCGCUAUAACCUCGCACAAUGAAUGAAACAACACAAAUCAAACACAUCAUGUACCAACCCUCAGCGACGAUGGUUCAAGCCUGUCAUUAUUCUGAUUGAUGUCUACCUGGAUUACAAUCAAAAAGUACAGUUUGAUGCCAGACAUUGAGACAAAUAUAAACUACACCUUCAAACCUGUGGCAUUUUGAAGGCAACAUGAAAUAGUCUUCUAGAACUCAAAAUCAUGAUGGACCCCAUUGAUGCAGCCUCAGGCUGAAAUACUUCCACUACUGAUAGAGUAACUUACCAUCAAAUCAUCCUUGAGAGACCAUAUUAUACAUAACUGGCAAAAUAAACUGAUCAAAGAGUUGCCUAGCAUCAACAAUAUAAAAUGCUCGGAACAAAUAACUGAUAUAGUUGUUCUCAUUGUUGCAGGAAAAACAAAUUUACAGUGUCCAAUUAAUUUAGCAUCUUUACAAAGAAAAUCAACAACCCUGACAGUCCGUCUGAUGAGAAAUUUUCUUUUUACAUUGUCUCCAAAGUAUCAAUUCCCAUGCUCACCACAUAACAUAGCGCCAGCAAGGAUAAUACUCAACACAAGCACCUGUUGAUCUGACGUCACUCCAACAAGAAACAGCUUGAUAACAAAAUUUAGAAGUCAAAUUCCCCAGUAGCCUGCAAUUAACAAAUAAGUUCUCAAAUAGUUUCUGGGCUCUCAGAUAAUCUCAAAUAUAUUGAUAAUAUAUCCUGUCAAAUGAUAGCAACCAAGCUUCAUGAAAUGUAGGGGGAAAAGGCAUGCCGGGAAACCAAUUUCUACAUGCAGAUUUAGAACAGAAUGAACAUCAGAAAAAGAUGUGGAAAUGUUCUCAUAAAGUACUCAGAUGAAAGCCACUCAUGAGUAAACUGGGUAAUAGAAAAACUAUUAUAAAAAAGUGACAGAAAAAGGCUAUAUCAAGCAGCACCCAAAGCCAUCAAAUGCUUGGUAUUGAAGAGUUUGAGUUUGUAUGCCAUGGAUUAGACUGUAAAACUGCAAUGUGGGUAGCCCUAAGAUUUGUUUGAUUGUCAGAUGGUGAUAUUAAUAAAUUGUUGAUUGCAAGUGUUUUAAGUUCCCUAAAUUUAUCAGAAUACUGAAACCAACAUCUGGCCUUGGAUGUCAUUGAAUAUGAACACGGUAGGCUAUUUAUUACAAGAGUGCAUAAUUUUGGAGUUCAGACUUAGCUUUGGAAAUCUCCUUUUAAACUUGCAAACAGUUUUGAAUUCUGUUUAAAUAACAAUGCUUUCAACGAACUGAAGACUUCCUGCAACAACCUGGCAUUCUCUACACUUCAUUUGCCUAACACUACUUUCCUGCAUUUGUACAUGGCACUUUCUAGCGAAAUUUUCAUGCCUUACGUGACAUGUUUCACAGACAAUGUUUCAUGGUUUUACUCUCGCUUGAUUUAAUGCUCAUAACCCUGGUUUUUUAUCACAUCAAAAGGUAAAACCAAAACAAAAUCUGUCCUGCCAUUUCAUAGCUUGUCAAAGAAAAGAAAGCCCAAAAAAACAGACCGUAAUUUCCUAGCCUGAUGAAAGAACAAGCCAGAAAAAACUGACAAGGAGGGCAACGAAAGAAGGAGAGAGAGCGAGAGAGAGAGAGAUCCAAAGAACUCCCUCCCUCCCCCCACACACCAAACUAUUUUUUUUAAAAAAAAAAGAGUGGGAGGCUAGGACUACGGCAUACCAAUUCCGAAGCAUCGGUCCUCUUCGUCACCUUCUUUGAAGCAGCCACGAUCUCCAACUAAUCUGAUGGAUACUGGUUUCCUCUCUCUCUCUCUCUCUCUGUGUGUGUGUGUGUGUGUGUGUGUGUGUGUGUGUCUUGUUUCGUUUCCCUUUCCCACCUAUGUAUUNNNNNNNNNNNNNNNNNNNNNNNNNNNNNNNNNNNNNNNNNNNNNNNNNNNNNNNNNNNNNNNNNNNNNNNNNNNNNNNNNNNNNNNNNNNNNNNNNNNNNNNNNNNNNNNNNNNNNNNNNNNNNNNNNNNNNNNNNNNNNNNNNNNNNNNNNNNNNNNNUUUCUUAUGUUAUUCAUGAGUGAUAGGAUCCUGUCAUAUAUGGAGUAUACCAUGCAUGACAAGCCCAUCUAGCAAUUGAUCGUAACUUCUACAUAUUCAAAACCAAAUCUGAACAUAUUUUUUUAUAUGUAAUAAAGUGUCUUGAAUUGUUUGGAGAUUGUUCCAUUUCCAAAACCUCAAUUUUCUAAGUACUUCCCCUUAAGGUGGUGUGUGGACAUCCAAAACAACCAACAUGCACAUACGCAAACAACAAGAAUUCCUCAUCACCGGUCCAGUGGAAACAAUUGGCAACUUGUUUAGUGGUAUAGGAGGUUAUGAUGCCAGUUUGGUUUUACUUGGAUGUAAGGACAAUUAAGCUCUACAUGUUUUUGUUUCCUUGGUGAAAAAGGGAUUAGCUGCAAAUUCUGAGGAAGUUUGAUGGUCACAAACCAGGAGCACAGGUUAGGGAUUAGCAAGCCAUAAUUAUUAAUGUCACUACCAUAUGACUGCUAGAUGCCAUGGCCUGGAGCUCCACAUCAGCUAAUGCCCAAGAGACGGCAGUUUGCUUUUUGGCUUUCUAAGUAAUGGGAUUAGGGAUAAGCACGGGAAAGUAGUCCAUAGAAAGUAUCUACUGUCAAUGCAACUAGCUUAAUUUGAGUCAUAACACACACAAAGUUGGAAAUAUACUAUAGGCACACAUAUAUAAUUCUUGUUUGGCUGAGUUUAAGAGAUAACCUUGCACUCAAAGUGAAGUUUGUUACCAAGGUUUUUAGGCCUAACUCAGCAUGACUUGGAAUGUGAUCAGAGUAAAUAAUAUUGACGUUGAAUGACAGUCAAAAAUACCAAGCAAUACACAAAAAUGUCAAUAUGGAGGAGGAUUCUCUGAUAAAUCUCCAUCGGCUGUAAUUAGGCGUAUGUUUUGCUCCAGAUAAAAGUUUGCAGACCUCUACAUUUGCAUGUUAAGCAAAUGCCAAGACAUGAUUGAGCAACUUAAAUGCCCAAAAGUAUUCAAAUUAAGAAAUUAUCCAUGAAAUUCUUUGAGCGCUAGUAUCCUACAUAUUAAACUCAUUCACGAAGAUACCUUGUGCAUAGACAAGGAUCAGUGAAUGCUGUGCCUUGUCUGCCAAAGUUUGCUUAUAGCCAACAUCGCAAACAGACCUAAGGAAUUUAGCAACCAUUAACAUAAGGCUUUCUCUAGGUCAUCAAGCGAUCUGUUUAAUUUGCAGGCUCUGAUCUCCCCUUGUUUGGCAAGUUCUGUAAGUAUCCAUAUACAAUGAAGUCACAUGGUUAUGGUAUGUUGCUCAUCCCCAACUUGCACUUCUGCUUGUGGCAAUUAAGCUACCUCUACAUUUACAGCCAAUCUGGCUUUUAACAAUCAAAGAGAACACAUAGAACUCGAUUGUCAUUUCAUCUGAGAAGAAAUUCAAGCAUCAUAACCUCUUAAGGGCCCUACCUCUCAACAAUUAUGUUUAGACCAGAAAAUGAUAAAUUACUUUUAUCAGUUCAUGCACAUGUUGGGAGUUCUUUAUAUUCAUAGGCUACCCUAAAGGGUAGUAUUGAGAAAGUCGAUUUUUUUCAGAUUGCAAUUAUCUUCAAAAAGUUUCAGAACUGCCAUUAUAUGUUCCAGACAUUUUGAGAUUUGAAUUGAAAUUUGUAUAAGAUAUGACCAAUUUAUACAUGGGUUGUGCUUAUAUGUCUUAGACUUCAUAUAUGACAAGAUCUCACUGCUCAUGAUAAUCUGAAUCUGUCUAACAUGGGGACAAUUUUGAGAUAAAAGCGAACACAAAGU